rnacentral:tRNA from 1 species
GCCGAGGUCGCAUAACCUGGUAGUGCGCAAGACCUUACUAGCUUGUUUCCGAAAGGAUAUCUGGGUUCAAAUCCCAGCCUCGGCG